rnacentral:rRNA from 1 species
GAUGAACGCUGGCGGCGUGCCUAACACAUGCAAGUCGAACGGAAAGGCCCUGCUUUUGUGGGGUUCUCGAGUGGCGAACGGGUGAGUAACACGUGAGUAACCUGCCCUUGACUUUGGGAUAACUUCAGGAAACUGGGGCUAAAACCCGAUAGAAGCUCCUGCUGCAUGGGGGGGGUUGGAAAGUUUCGGCUGUUGGGGAUGGACUCGCGGCUUAUGAGCUUGUUGGUGGGGUAGGGGCUUACGAAGGCUUUGACGGAUAGCCGGCAUGAGAGGGUGAACGGGGACAAUGGGACUAAGAUACGGCGCAGACGGCAACGGGAGGCAGCGGUCGGAAGCAUUGCACAGCGAGCGGACGCGUGUUGCGGCGGCGCCGCGUGCGGAAUGCCGGCCUUCGGGGUGAAAACCGCUUUCGCCUGUGACGAAGCGGGAGUGACGGUACUGGAUAAAGAAGCACCGGCUAACUACGUG